rnacentral:rRNA from 2 species
GAGCGGACGGAUGGGAGCUUGCUCCCUGAAGUCAGCGGCGGACGGGUGAGUAACACGUGGGCAACCUGCCUGUAAGACUGGGAUAACUCCGGGAAACCGGGGCUAAUACCGGAUAACUCUUUUCCUCACAUGAGGAAAAGCUGAAAGAUGGUUUCGGCUAUCACUUACAGAUGGGCCCGCGGCGCAUUAGCUAGUUGGUGAGGUAACGGCUCACCAAGGCCACGAUGCGUAGCCGACCUGAGAGGGUGAUCGGCCACACUGGGACUGAGACACGGCCCAGACUCCUACGGGAGGCAGCAGUAGGGAAUCUUCCGCAAUGGACGAAAGUCUGACGGAGCAACGCCGCGUGAGUGAUGAAGGUUUUCGGAUCGUAAAACUCUGUUGUCAGGGAAGAACAAGUACCGGAGUAACUGCCGGUACCUUGACGGUACCUGACCAGAAAGCCACGGCUAACUACGUGCCAGCAGCCGCGGUAAUACGUAGGUGGCAAGCGUUGUCCGGAAUUAUUGGGCGUAAAGCGCGCGCAGGCGGUUCCUUAAGUCUGAUGUGAAAGCCCCCGGCUCAACCGGGGAGGGUCAUUGGAAACUGGGGAACUUGAGUGCAGAAGAGAAGAGUGGAAUUCCACGUGUAGCGGUGAAAUGCGUAGAGAUGUGGAGGAACACCAGUGGCGAAGGCGACUCUUUGGUCUGUAACUGACGCUGAGGCGCGAAAGCGUGGG